ACCAAGAAGUCUGACAUGUGUGCGACUCAACGGGCGAGUAAACCCGUAAGGCAUAAGGAAGCUGAUUGGUGGGAUCCCCCUAAGGGGUGCACCGCCGAUCGACCUUGAUCUUCUGAGAAGGGUUCGAGUGUGAGCAUACCUAUCGAGACUCGAAAGAUGGUGAACUAUGGCUGAGCGGGGCAAAGCCAAAUAAAAUUCUAGUGGAGGCCCGCAGCGAUACUGACGUGGAAAUCGUUUGUCUUACUUGGGUAUAGGGGCGAAAGACUAAUCGAACCGUCUAGUAGCUGGUUCCCUCCGAAAUUUCCCUCAGGAUAGGUGGAGCUCGCAUGCGUGUUAUAUCAGGUAAAGCCAAUGAUUAGAGGCCUCGGGUGCGCAACGCCCUCGACCUAUUCUCAAACUUUAAAUAGGUAGGACGGCACGACUGCUUUGUUGAGCCGCGCAACGGAAUCAAGAGCUCCAACUUGGCCAUUUUUAGUAAGCAGAACUGGCGAUGCGGGAUGAACCGGAAGCCGGGUUACGGUGCCAAACUACGCGCUAACCUAGAUCCCACAAAGGGUGUUGGUCGAUUAAGACAGGACGGUGGUCAUGGAAGUGGAAAUCCGCUAAGGAGUGUGUAACAACUCACCUGCCGAAUCAACUAACCCCGAAAAUGGAUGGCGCUUAAGCGCACGACCUACACCCGACCGUCGGGGCAAGUGCCCUGCCCCGAUGGUUAGGAGGGUGCGGUAGGUGCUGCAAAAACUAGGGCAUGAGCCUGGGUGGAGCGGCCGUCGGUGCAGAUUUUGGUGGUAGUAGCAAAUAUUCAAAUUAGAACUUUGAAGGCCGAAAAGGGGAAAGGCC
rnacentral:rRNA from 1 species